UUCGUUUUUGAGCCUUUUGCCUACAUUUCUGUGAUUGGGUCAUUUUCGGUCUCAUAAAGUUAAUAGUCAGUUGAUGUUUCCCGUGUUGUUUAGCUAGCUGCUCCUAUUAGUGUUGAGUUGGCCUCUCUAGGCCUGGCAGCCCCAUCCUGUCUGUGCCCCGCCCCCUCUUAGUGUCUUGUAGAGCUCAUCCUAGGCGGCUUUACCUUUACCCACUUCAGGAACAGCCUAGACAACUACAUGGGAAGAAUGGCAGAAACAAACACUGUAACCUGAAGAGAGAGAGAGAGAAUAUGAGAGAGAGAGAAUAUGAGAGAGAGAGAAUAUGAGAGAGAGAGAAUAUGAGAGAGAGUGUGUGGGUGUGGGUGGGUGGGUGGUGAAUUUAUAGCAGAUUUAGAUCCUUCAUUCUACCGUGCUUCACUUGCCUGUGCUCUGUAAAGGGACCUCUUCCUCAGCACUUAAAUCCAUUGUUGUGUCAAAUGGACAGUUACCUUGUCUGGGGAAAAAACUCUUAAGAUGAUCCAGAACAAACCAAAAAAAAAAAACCUUCUUAGAAUGAAUUUUGCUUUUGUAAGUAAUGGUUUAUGUUUUGAAAUGUGGUUUAGAAUCCUUAAAAUUAAGGGCUGAAAAUUAACUUUCUGAAAGAAUAUUGUUAAAAUACUAUUCUGUGCAUAUCUGAAGCUCAAAACAGUGAGACUGGUUUAUCUCUGAUCACUUUUGGUCCUGUACACACAGAAUAUCUCUGAUAAGAGAAGGAGACCGCAUCAUAUUGGGUAGACAGGUUCCCAUUGCUAUAACAAAUAUGCUUAGUGCUCCACGAGUGUUUUCAGAGGCUGCUGCUGCUACACAAAAGCCCCAGUGGUAAUUUGUUACAACUGUUGAUGAAGAACUCGUGUGUCGUUAAAUAUUCUCUGAAGACUUGUGCAUUCGGUCUCAUCCUGUUUUCAGUGAGGGCACUUGAUGUAAAUAUGUAAAUAUGUCUCAUUGCUACCAUUCCUAUUGAAUAUAUUGCUCAAAGAGAGUCCCACGUACAGAUAGAGUGGUAUGCCACAUUUUUAUAUAAGUACAGUAAUAAUAGACAGCCGAACGAUAGAUAGGAAUGUUCUAGUGUCACUUUCUUAGUUGACGCUCUUUGGUAAAAUGAUUAUCAAUAGACUGGCAAUAUUAAUGUACUUAGUAAAGUAGUUUUCUUUUUCUUUAGGCAAAAUAUAUAGGAAAACAUGUGAAAAUUAUAUUCACUUCAUUGUACAUGCCUAUGUGAGGGAGUUGUUGGAAUGCCCUGUUCACUAAAAAGAGAGAGAGAUGAUGAUGAUGUUUGUGUGCACACGAGCGGUGUCUGGUUAAGUUGAUGGGUAUAAAGGAUAUGGUUGCAUGUGUAUGGGUGUGCAUGCUGUUUGCUCGUGUGCCUGGAAUGGGAUGCCUGACUACUCCUUGAUGACAGCUAAGUGUUAAUAUCAUUCUCAACCUCUGAGUUCUUUGGUGGAAUGAAACACGUUGCCAAAGUUAUCAGUUAAGUAAAGCUUAUUUUCUGAAAACCUCUUAGUCUCCCACAUUUUUAAAGUAUAUAGGGUAAUGUGCUUAAUCACAUUUAAUCGUAUUUUUGUCACAAAUCAUUUAAUACGCUUACCAUGGAAAUAACCCAUUUUAUGGACAUAUCAG
rnacentral:lncRNA from 1 species